rnacentral:lncRNA from 1 species
CUUCUCGGUAGUGGUUAUGGGGGUUGGAGGAGAAAAAUAAUUGUCGCAUUAUCUGCAAACAACAAAAUCGGAUUUGUUGACGGCUCAUGUCCUCGACCAACCACUAAUGUGGCUCAACAAAGGCUGUGGGAUAGAUGUAAUAACAUGGUCAUUUCCUGGUUGACCUCUUCCCUAUCUCCUCAAAUUGCUGAUAGUGUGCACUAUUCCGAUACUGCACAGAGUAUAUGGUCCCAAUAUUUUUGAAUUAAAAAGGGAACUUUCCCACACAUCUCAAGGCUGCUUAGACGUAGCCUCAUACGUUAACAAGCUCAAAGGCCUGUGGGAUGAGUUGGGCACAAUGUGUACAAAUCAUGGGCAGAGAUGUGUGUGUGCUGCUAAAAAAGGAAUAAUUCAGGAAGAUGAUGAAAACAAAGUAUUCCAGUUUCUUAUGGGGUUAAAUGAAGCAUACAUGGGGGUUAGGAGUAAUCUGUUGAUGGUGCACAAAUCAUGGGCAGAGAUGUGUGUGUGCUGCUAAAAAUAGAAUAAUUCAGGAAGAUGAUGAAAACAAGGUAUUCCAGUUUAUUAUGGGGUUAAAUGAAGCGUACAUGGGGGUUAGGUGUAACUUGUUGAUGAUGCAGCCAUUUCCUUCCCUUGACAGUGUUUACAAUGUAGUGCUUAAUGAUGAGAAACAGAGACAAGUUCAAUCUAUUUCUCAAAUCAGUCCAGACUCUAUGUCCUUUAAUGCUAAUGCAAAUAAGCACUCAGUUGGGUUUAAUCAGGCCACAGUGCCUAGUCCCCCUAUUUGCAGACCCAAAGUUAAUUUUGAGCAAAGUAGAGGGCCCUUAUUUUGCAGAUACUGCAAGAAAUCUGGGCACUUAAUUGAUAAGUGC